rnacentral:rRNA from 1 species
GACGAACCGUGCGAACGUUGUUCGGAAUCACUGGGCUUAAAGGGCGCGUAGGCGGGCCGGACGGUCCGGGGUGAAAUCCCCCCGCUCAACGGGGGAACGGCCCCGGACACCGCCGGCCUCGAGGGGGGUAGGGGCGAGCGGAACGCUGGGUGGAGCGGUGAAAUGCGUUGAUAUCCAGCGGAACUCCGGUGGCGAAGGCGGCUCGCUGGGCCCUCUCUGACGCUGAGGCGCGAAAGCCAGGGGAGCGAACGGGG